AAAGGGGCUUUAGCCAUGGAGCGGCCGUUUUGUGAUUGCAUGCCGUAGGCCAUCUUGGUGCGCUCCGAGAGUU